rnacentral:rRNA from 1 species
AUACGUAGGGGGCGAGCGUUGUCCGGAAUGACUGGGCGUAAAGGGCGUGUAGGCGGCGAUUUAAGUUUGGAGUGAAAGUCCCGUUUUCAAGAUGGGAAUUGCUUUGGAUACUGGAUUGCUUGAGUACAGAAGAGGUAAGCGGAAUUCCCGGUGUAGCGGUGAAAUGCGUAGAGAUCGGGAGGAACACCAGUGGCGAAGGCGGCUUACUGGGCUGUAACUGACGCUGAGGCGCGAAAGCGUGGGGAGCGAACAGGAUUAGAUACCCUGGUAGUCCACGCGGUAAACGAUGAAUGCUAGGUGUAGCGGGUAUCGACCCCUGCUGUGCCGCAGUAAACACAAUAAGCAUUCCGCCUGGGGAGUACGGCCGCAAGGUUGAAACUCAAAGGAAUUGACGGGG